AGCUGGCUAUAACUGGUCUGUGGCUGGUAUAAACUGGUUAAGCUGGUAACCUAUGCUCGUCAAACUGGUGGACUAGACUCCUCUUCCAUGUCUGUCUCCAGUAUUGUGGAAUUCUUUCUGAUGUAACCAUCUUCAUCACAAACUGCCUACACGAAGGGCCCCUGCACUCAAGAAGGGCCCCUAUGGAACAGUUCCCACUCAUGUUGCCAUAGCGUUGCUCUGACGAGGCGUGGUGCGGGAGUAACUGUGGGAGGUUUUCAUGAGCUCCAUAUCUGAAUGCUGGCCUGUGCCUCUCAUGUGCAGAUAUAUGGUUUUAAUAUUUAUUUAUCUGGCAAAUACUUACCAUCCAUUAUGAUUUACAAGGCCAUCAGGAUACCAUAACAAGCAGUCACACCAUGAUUUAAAGCAUAAUAUAGGUACUGACAACAUACCUGCAUCAUGCCGAUACGCACAUAGAGCCUAAUAAUGGCAUAUGGGUGCAGGACAUUGGAUUCAUACAGCUUCUGUGAACCUGAACAGGUAGUUCUUAUGCAAGAAUCAGAAGGUAGGCAAUUUGGUUGUCUUGUGGGUGCAGUUACCAAAUUCCACCACCGGGGGGCCAGAGAGGCGAUAAAGACAGCUUUGGAUAUGAGGCCACAGAAGAGAGAAAUAACCAGCCAACCUUAUAUAUUGAUGAGAAGCGAGAAACGAAUCCCACACACAGAUGUCGAACAAUCGCUCUUAGUCACAGGUCUUUUAACUAAAACAUGGACUAUUUUUUCAGCACACAAUUUUAUUAUAAAAAACACUACAUUUGAACAGCACGCAGCUUUUAUAUUUUAAACUUACAUCUUAUGGCUGGUUGUUCCAGUAGUGUGAUUAUAUGCUUGCAUAUUUAUUAUCUUGUCAAUAUAUUAUUCCUGGACCACAGCAGCUUGGCACUGAAAAAAUAAUCUUUGUGUAAACCAGUGUAAACCAGACUGUCCUGUCUGUUGCUAAAAUUAUUUUCUUUUUUUGUUGCUUUUAGGGACGAGUGAUACUGUCACUGUCAGUUAUCUGCCUUGUGGACAAGUAUGUGAUGCACAAAAUCAAGAAGCCAGUAUGUUCCUGCUUCCUUAUGGAUUCUGAGCUUUUUCCAGCUCACCUCCUUGGACUCUAAGCUCCUUGAGCAACUUGAGUUUUUGGAAACACUCUAAAACAAUGUAUUUUGUAUAUUGCUAUCAACGCAUAAUAUGUAAAGCAUUACAAUAUUUUAGUUUACUGCCAUGUGUUUGUUAUUGUAGACUUUGUCGGGUUUUUUAUGUUCAGUUCUAGGAUUUUGAUUGGUGUCUUGGACUGCUUAAAUGUUGAAUAAUUGCACACUUAUGAAAAGUGCUUAAUCGUUAAAUUAUUGUCAUCACAGGUUUUCUUUUUUGUCUGUUUGUAAGAACAUAUGAAAGCCUAUGAGAUCCAGCCAUGGGCAUUCCUCUGCAGUGGCUCUGACUAACAGUUAAAACCCUAAUUUACACACAGCCAUGGAUAAUUAAAAUAAAUAAGACAUGAAUGAAAACAUACAA